rnacentral:misc_RNA from 1 species
UCUCCGUAGGUGAACCUGCGGAGGGAUCAUUAUAGAGUUCUCGCCCUCGCGGGUAGAUCUCCCACCCACUGUUAUCGUUACUGUGUUGCUUUGGCGGGCCGCCGGGCCCCGCUCGGCCGCCGGCUCCGGCUGGCGCGCGCCCGCCAGAGGCCCAGCAAACUCUGAAUGUUAGUGUCGUCUGAGUACUAUAUAAUAGUUAAAACUUUCAACAACGGAUCUCUUGGUUCUG